rnacentral:rRNA from 1 species
GAUGAACGCUGGCGGCGUGCCUAAUACAUGCAAGUCGAGCGAACAGACGAGGAGCUUGCUCCUCUGACGUUAGCGGCGGACGGGUGAGUAACACGUGGAUAACCUACUUAUAAGACUGGUAUAACUUCGGGAAACCGGCGCUAAUACCGGAUAAUAUAUUGAACCGCAUGGUUCAAUAGUGAAAGACGGUUUUGCUGUCACUUAUAGAUGGAUCCGCGCCGCAUUAGCUAGUUGGUAAGGUAACGGCUUACCAAGGCAACGAUGCGUAGCCGACCUGAGAGGGUGAUCGCCCACACGGGAGCUGAAACAGGGUCAAGAGUCCUACGAGAGGCAGCAGUAGGGAAUCGUCCGCAAUGGGCGGAAGCAUGGCAGAGCAGCGGCGAGCGUGUGAUGAAGGUCUUCGGAUCGUAAAACUCUGUUAUUAGGGAAGAACAAAUGUGUAAGGAAAUAUGCCGGUCUUGACGGUACCGGAUCAGAAAGCCCCGGCUAACUACGUG